GUGGAAGUACCACAUUACAUUCAAAAAGGGUUUUUUCAAUCAAUUUUUCCCUGUUUGAUAAUUUAGAGUAGUCUACAACAAUGGAUUUACCAUAAUCGUUUUGAUAUCUAGAAUCUAAAGACCUGGUUUCUUCAAAUCCCAAUGCAUUUUGGACGUGGGACGGUAACUCUAAGUAUUUUCUUACAAUCUUGUGCUGUCGUUUUCCUGUGGCUAUGGUUUCUGAAUUUUUAUCAGGUGAUGCCUUCAUGUAAAAUUUUGCAGAACAUAGUUUGGGUUCUUCUAACACGUUCGGCAGUUUUUUCGUAAGAUUGUAUGGUUCAUCGAAUUGGAGCUUUUGACCUUAUAUUUUUGAUGCAGUACAUUACAAUUUUGCAGAACAUAGUCUGGUCACAGGAAUAAUCUCUUCUCACAGGAAUAGUGUCAUGAUUUGCACGCGCAUGGUUUUCGAUUUGCACUUCUUUUUAUUGACACUUCUGGGAUUUACAAAUCUAAGAUUCAUUUUUUCCUUCUGCAGAUUAAUAUCUUUGAGUGUAAGAUUCAUUUUUUCCUUCUGCAGAUUAAUAUUUUUGAUUGUCUUGGUUUUCCAACACUCCUAUUAUUUUCCGACCCAUAGGAGCAGCUAUAUGAAUGUUAAGGACAGAACAAGUUCUUCAUAAGGGAGAUUUUGAUCAAUCUGUUUCCCUGUUAAAUUCCUUUACGUGAUUUUUUAAUAUUAGCCUGCUAUAGCCUUAAUAAUUUCAAAUGUAGGAUGCAAGGAUCAAUAUUCCUCAGCCCCACACGAGGUGGUUUUGGAAUUGGAAUGUUUUGGCCUGCUGAGUUCUAAAUCUAUUAUUUUCAGAUGAACCGUGUUUCAUCAUCUCUAAGGAGAAGCGAUUUCGAACUCUCAUUGACUUAUUCACUAAUAUGUCUGUCAUUUUAAUACCAUUUUGGCUGUCCUAAAUCCAAAAUAUGAUUUGCCCAUGCAGAUAAAUACGACAAGCGAUUCCUUUUCCUUGAGUCUUUGCUGUAAAAAGGCGGUUUUAUUUUUCCAUAUAACUUUUAAGCCUUUUCUAUUGCCCUUUCCAUGUUACUAGUUCUGUAUUUUAUGAUUUUGCAGAAAAUCCAAGGCCUUUAUGAAGUUACUUUCAGAGCCUUGCUAGAUCAAAAGUGGAAGUACCACAUUACAGUAAAAAAGGAUUUUUUCAAUCCAAUUUUUCCCUGUUUGAUAAUUUAGAGUAGUCUACAACAAUGGAUUUACCAUAAUCGUUUGGAUAUCUAGAAUCUAAAGACCAGGUUUCUUCAAAUCCCAAUGCAUUUUGGUCGGGGGACGGUAACUCUAAGUAUUUUCUUACAAUCUUGUGCUGUCGUUUUCCUCUGGUCAUGGUUUCUGAAUUUUUAUCAGGUGAUGCCUUCAUGUAAAAUUUUGCAGAACAUAGUUUGGGUUCUUCUAAUACGUUCGGCACUUUUUUCGUAAGACUAUGGUUCAUCGAAUUGGAGCUUUUCACCUUAUAUUUUUGAUGCAGUACAUUACAAUUUUGCAGAACAUAGUCUGGUCACAGGAAUAAUCUCUUCUCACAGGAAUAGUGUCAUGAUUUGCACACGCCCAUGGUUUUCGACUUGCAUCGUUUGAUAUAUAUGAAGGGGGAUUUUAUACCUACGAUUUUUUGACACUUCCUUUUAUUGACACUUCUGGGAUUUACAAAUCUAAGAUUCAUUUUUUCCUUCUGCAGAUUAAUAUCUUUGAGUGUCAUUUCCCAGUAUGCUAGUGGUAAAACAUUGGGUUUUACGAUUGUCUUGGUUUUCCAACACUCCUAUUAUUUUCCGACCCAUAGGAGCAGCUAUAUGAAUGUUAAGGACAGAACAAGUUCUUCAUAAGGGAGAUUUUGAUCAAUCUGUUUCCCUGUUAAAUUCCUUUACGUUAUUUUUUAAUAUUAGCCUGCAGUAGCUUUAAUAAUUUCAAAUGUAGGAUGCAAGGAUCAAUAUUCCUCAGCCCCACACGAGGUGGUUUUGGAAUUGGAAUGUUUUGGCCUGCUGAGUUCUAAAUCUAUUAUUUUCAGAUGAACCGUGUUUCAUCAUCUCUAAGGAGAAGCGAUUUCGAACUCUCAUUGACUUAUUCACUAAUAUGUCUGUCAUUUGAAUACCAUUUUGGCUGUCCUAAAUUCAUAAUAUGAUUUGCCCAUGCAGAUAAACACGACAAGCGAUUCCUUUUCCUUGAGUCUUUGCUAUAAAAAGGCGGUUUUAUUUUUCCAUAUAACUUUUAAGCCUUUUCUAUUGCCCUUUCCAUGUUACUAGUUCUGUAUUUUAUGAUUUUGCAGAAAAUCCAAGGCCUUUAUGAAGUUACUUUAAGAGCCUUGCUAGUUCAAAAGUGGAAGUACCACAUUACAGUAAAAAAGGAUUUUUUCAAUCCAAUUUUUCCCUGUUUGAUAAUUUAGAGUAGUCUACAACAAUGGAUUUACCAUAAUCGUUUUGAUAUCUAGAAUCUAAAGACCUGGUUUCUUCAAAUCCCAAUACAUUUUGGACGUGGGACGGUAACUCUAAGUAUUUUCUUACAAUCUUGUGCUGUCGUUUUCCUCUGGCCAUGGUUUCUGAAUUUUUAUCAGGUGAUGCCUUCUUGUAAAAUUUUGCAGAACAUAGUUUGGGUUCUUCUAACACGUUCGGCAGUUUUUUCGUAAGACUAUGGUUCAUCGAAUUGGAGCUUUUCACCUUAUAUUUUUGAUGCAGUACCGUACAAUUUUGCAGAACAUAGUCUGGUCACAGGAAUAAUCUCUUCUCACAGGAAUAGUGUCAUGAUUUGCACGCCCAUGGUUUUCGAUUUGCAUCGUUUGAUAUAUAUGAAGGGGGAUUUUAUACCUACGAUUUUUUGACACUUCCUUUUAUUGACACUUCUGGGAUUUACAAAUCUAAGAUUCAUUUUUUCCUUCUGCAGAUUAAUAUCUUUGAUUGUCUUGGUUUUCCAACACUCCUAUUAUUUUCCGACCCAUAGGAGCAGCUAUAUGAAUGUUAAGGACAGAACAAGUUCUUCAUAAGGGAGAUUUUGAUCAAUCUAUUUCCCUGUUAAAUUCCUUUACCUGAUUUUUUAAUAUUAGCCUGCAGUAGCCUUAAUAAUUUCAAAUGUAGGAUGCAAGGAUCAAUAUUCCUCAGCCCCACACGAGGUGGUUUUGGAAUUGGAAUGUUUUGGCCUGCUGAGUUCUAAAUCUAUUAUUUUCAGAUGAACCGUGUUUCAUCAUCUCUAAGGAGAAGCGAUUUCGAACUCUCAUUGACUUAUUCACUAAUAUGUCUGUCAUUUUAAUACCAUUUUGGCUGUCCUAAAUCCAAAAUAUGAUUUGCCCAUGCAGAUAAAUACGACAAGCGAUUCCUUUUCCUUGAGUCUUUGCUGUAAAAAGGCGGUUUUAUUUUUCCAUAUAACUUUUAAGCCUUUUCUAUUGCCCUUUCCAUGUUACUAGUUCUGUAUUUUAUGAUUUUGCAGAAAAUCCAAGGCCUUUAUGAAGUUA
rnacentral:lncRNA from 1 species